GUAGGUGGCAAGCGUUGUCCGGAAUUAUUGGGCGUAAAGCGCGCGCAGGUGGUUCUUUAAGUCUGAUGUGAAAGCCCCCGGCUCAACCGGGGAGGGUCAUUGGAAACUGGGGAACUUGAGUGCAGGAGAGGAAAGUGGAAUUCCACGUGUAGCGGUGAAAUGCGUAGAUAUGUGGAGGAACACCAGUGGCGAAGGCGACUUUCUGGCCUGUAACUGACACCGAGGCGCGAAAGCGUGGGGAGCAAACAGGAUUAGAUACCCUGGUAGUCCACGCCGUAAACGAUGAGUGCUGAGUGUUGGGGGGGUUUCCCGCCCCGUCAGUGCUGCAGCUAACGCAUUAAGCACUCCGCCUGGGGAGUACGGCCGCAAGACUG
rnacentral:rRNA from 1 species